GACGUGGAGAAGCCGAGAGGGAAGAAGGCUCGUUUCGGGGGAGGAGGAGAGGGAGAGAGAGGCGUCGUGGGGAGGUUGGGUUCGGUGAGGGGUGUUCACCGAUGAGGUGGUGGUGGCGCGGCGCUACAAUGGUGGUCGGUUGCUGGGCUAUGGUUGAA